GCGGCUGUAGCUUAGUCUGGCUCAAAGCACCUGCCUGUCGAGCAGGGGAUCGUGGGUUCGAAUCCCAUCAGUCGCGC
rnacentral:tRNA from 4 species